AUAAUCUCCAAACAAAAUUAUAUAACUCAUUUUUAAUGUGGGAAUGUGGUGAAAAACCGCAACUGUACCCGCAACUGUAAAAGCCUUUUAGUGGUAGUUAAUAACCAUAAAGCUUAAGUCAGGAUACCCAUUAAUUUAGAGUCAUUUGC
rnacentral:ncRNA from 2 species